rnacentral:misc_RNA from 1 species
GGAGCGUACAUCUGAGAAGACCUUCAGGCUCUUUCAAUCCAAAGAGCAAGAGCUUGUGAACAAGUAUAAUUAUGUGGUUAGCCUGUGGAGAAGAAUCUCAACCAUUGCUGGAGAAUUGCGUUAUGUGGAUGCCAUGAGGCUUCUUUAUACGUUAGAGGAUGCUUCCAAAGGGUUUGCUGAUCAAGUGAAUGCAACUAUAGCUCUUCUCCACCCAAUUCACUGCACAAGAGAGAGAAAAGUGCAUGUAGUGUUUGAUAUGACUACAAUUCCUGCAUUCUUAACUGUUCUCGGUGUUCUUUACAUCGUCUUGAAGCCAGGGCGACCAAAGCCCAAAAUUAAUUGAGAAUAAUUCUGAGCAGAGUUUAUGGAUGUGAAAGGUGCAAUGCAAAGUUUGUGUUUCCUUGUACAUGUAUACACAUUUACUUUGAUGCUUGAGGCAGAGAAAAUAGAAAUGAGAAUAGAAAAGUGCAGCCCGUUACUAGUUGAUCCAACUUGGAAAAUUUCUAA